UAGUCACAGGUAGUCACAGGUAGGUACAGGUAGUCACAGGUAGUCACAGGUAGGUACAGGUAGGUACAGGUAGUCACAGGUAGGUACAGGUAGGUACAGGUAGUCACAGGUAGGUACAGGUAGUCACAGGUAGUCACAGGUAGGUACAGGUAGGUACAGGUAGGUACAGGUAGGUACAGGUAGUCACAGGUAGUCACAGGUAGGUACAGGUAGUCACAGGUAGUCACAGGUAGUCACAGGUAGGUAGUCACAGGUAGGUAGUCACAGGUAGGUAGUUACAGGUAGGUAGUUACAGGUAGGUAGUCACAGGUAGGUAGUCACAGGUAGGUAGUUACAGGUAGGUAGUUACAGGUAGGUAGUCACAGGUAGGUAGGUACAGGUAGGUAGUUACAGGUAGGUAGUUACAGGUAGGUAGUUACAGGUAGGUA